UACGUAGGGUCCGAGCGUUGUCCGGAAUUAUUGGGCGUAAAGAGCUCGUAGGCGGUUUGUCGCGUCUGCUGUGAAAUCCCUCGGCUCAACCGAGGAACUGCCUUUCAAACUGCAUGGCUUGAGUCCGGGAGAGGUGAGUGGAAUUCCCAGUGUAGCGGUGAAAUGCGUAGAUAUUGGGAGGAACACCAGUGGCGAAGGCGGCUCACUGGACCGGAACUGACGCUGAGGCGCGAAAGCGUGGGGAGCAAACGGG
rnacentral:rRNA from 1 species